GACCUCACAACAAAACCCAUCAGAUCCCACAUACAGCAAGCCUUCAAUUUGACAGCAACAAGGAAGAAACCAGGAAGACCAGCAGAACCGGGCUGCAUAAGCAGAGACUGUCCAUGUGAGUCUUAUUGUGUAAAACAGGAAGAAAACAACAACAACGAAGCAGCUGUGUGUGGAGGAGGGGACGUGUCUGCAAGCGAUGGUGGUGGAGCUGGACCUGGAGCAUGUGUAGGUGGAGCUGGAGCAGGUGGAGCUGGACCUGGAGCAUGUGUAGGUGGAGCUGGAGCAUGUGUAGGUGGAGCUGGAGCAGGUGGAGGUGGAGCUGGAGCAUGUGGAGGUGGAGCUGGAGCAGGUGGAGCUGGACCUGGAGCAUGUGUAGGUGGAGCUGGAGCAGGUGGAGCUGGACCUGGAGCAUGUGUAGGUGGAGCUGGAGCAUGUGGAGGUGGAGCUGGACCUGGAGCAUGUGUAGGUGGAGCUGGAGCAUGUGUAGGUGGAGCUGGAGCAGGUGGAGCUGGACCUGGAGCAUGUGUAGGUGGAGCUGGAGCAUGUGGAGGUGGAGCUGGAGCAUGUGGAGGUGGAGGUGGAGCAGGUGGAGGUGGAGCUGGAGCAUGUGUAGGUGGAGCUGGAGCAGGUGGAGGUGGAGCUGGAGCAUGUGGAGCUGGACCUGGAGCAGGUGGAGGUGGAGCUGGAGCAGGUGGAGGUGGAGCUGGACCUGGAGCAUGUGGAGGUGGAGCUGGACCUGGAGCAUGUGGAGGUGGAGCUGGAGCAGGUGGAGGUGGAGCUGGAGCAGGUGGAGGUGGAGCUGGAGCAGGUGAAGGUGGAGCUGGACCUGGAGCAUGUGGAGGUGGAGCUGGACCUGGAGCAUGUGGAGGUGGAGCUGGAGCAGGUGGAGGUGGAGCUGGAGCAGGUGGAGCUGGAGCUGGAGCAGGUGAAGGUGGAGCUGGACCUGGAGCAUGUGGAGGUGGAGCUGGACCUGGAGCAUGUGGAGGUGGAGCUGGAGCAGGUGGAGGUGGAGCUGGAGCAGGUGGAGGUGGAGCUGGAGCAGGUGGAGGUGGAGCUGGACCUGGAGCAUGUGGAGGUGGAGCUGGACCUGGAGCAUGUGGAGGUGGAGCUGGAGCAUGUGGAGGUGGAGCUGGAGCAGGUGGAGGUGGAGAUGCAGAUGCAGCGACGGGCCUGGACUUUGCCUCCGUUAUGUGCAGUUUGUUGUGCUCACCGCCUCGGGGCCAAUGA
ensembl:lncRNA